CAAGGCGACGAUGGUUAGCUGGUCUGAGAGGAUGAUCAGCCACACUGGAACUGAGACACGGUCCAGACUCCUACGGGAGGCAGCAGUGAGGAAUAUUGCGCAAUGGGGGCAACCCUGACGCAGCAACGCCGCGUGAGUGAGGAAGGUUUUCGGACCGUAAAGCUCUGUCGAGCGGGAAGAAAUGCAUGGUGGCUAAUAUCCAUCAUGCUUGACGGUACCGCUAAAGGAAGCACCGGCUAACUCCGUGCCAGCAGCCGCGGUAAUACGGGGGGUGCGGGCGUUGUUCGGAAUUAUUGGGCGUAAAGAGCGUGUAGGCGGCCGAAUAAGUCAGAUGUGAAAUCCCUGGGCUUAACCCAGGACGUGCAUUUGAAACUAUUCGGCUAGAGUAGGGGAGAGGAAAGUGGAAUUCCUGGUGUAGAGGUGAAAUUCGUAGAUAUCAGGAGGAACACCGGUGGCGAAGGCGACUUUCUGGCCCUAUACUGACGCUGAGACGCGAGAGCGUGGGUAGCAAACAGGAUUAGAUACCCUGGUAGUCCACGCUGUAAACGAUGUUCACUAGGUGUUGGGGGUAUUGACCCUCUCAGUGCCGCAGCUAACGCA
rnacentral:rRNA from 1 species